AACAUGUUGAAGAUUCAGAGAAAACGGAACUCUUAAACACUGUCGAUGGGAAUGUAAGCUAGCACAGCCAUUAUGGAAAACAAUAUGGAGAUUUCUCAA